CUUAGAAAAUGCAAGGAUAUCAUUAUUCCCUUCAAAUUAAAGUGGCUAGUGAUUGAUUUAUUCAAGGGUUGCAUACUCCAAUUAUGAGCUUUACACUCCUUAAUUAAAGCUUACUGCGUGUCACAGCUUAUUUCUUAUAAUCCUGUGAGUGUAAACAAUUUUUUGUGCUUCAGUCUCGAAUGAAUAUCAGGACAGAGAUUUCUGUUUUAGUGUGUUGUCUGGUUUUUUUCUGCUUGUCGACUUCUGGUUCCCCAUCAAAUGGUGUCGGCUCUGAAGUAAUAGCUUUAAUGGGAAUAAAAAGCUUCCUGGUUGAUCCAAUUGGGGUUCUUGAAAAUUGGGAUGAAGCCUCCCCUGAUCCAUGCAGCUGGAGUAUGGUCACCUGCUCUGCCGAUGGUCAAGUUAUUGGCUUAGGAGCUCCAAGCCAGGGAUUGUCAGGUGUUCUUGCACCUUCUAUUGGGAACUUGACCAAUAUCCAGACAGUGCUUCUACAGGACAACAAUAUAUCAGGAAAUAUACCAUCAGAAAUAGGGAAGCUUUCAAAGCUUCAAAAUCUUGAUUUAUCCAACAAUAAUUUCUGUGGUCAAAUUCCGACCACCUUUUCUCAUUUAAAAAACCUUGAAUUCCUGAGACUGGUAACAAUCUUUCUGGAGAAAUUCCUGCUUCUUUGGCUAAUCUUACUGACCUUCAUUUGAUAGACUUGUCUUUCAAUAAUUUGAGUGGUAAAGUCCCCAUAUUCCCUGCCCAAGUAUUCAACAUUGAAGGAAACCCUUACCUUUAUACCAAAGGAACAGACAUGGUGGAUAAAGGAUCAUUGCCCAACUCCAGCAAGGCCAAACUCAACAAAUCUGGAAUUUUUUAUGUUAUAACCAUACUAAUGGUUCCUUAUUAUUAUUCUCACUUGUGGGAUUCUUCAUUUUUCAUAUGAAUACGUAUAUUUAAUAGAACAACUUUGACAAGCCAGUUUCGAUGGGAGAGUAUGGAUUAUUUUUGUAUGGUUGGUUUGAAAUGAAUCUCUUACAGAAACUUCAAUUUCUUGGUA